GCAACCGUGGCCUAAUGGAUAAGGCACCGGCCUUCUAACCCGGGGAUUACGGGUUCGAUCCCCGCCGGUUGUA
rnacentral:tRNA from 1 species